AAAAUACUCAAUAUACAAUAUAAACAAACUAAAAAGGAGCUGGGUGUUUAGGACUUUAGAUUAAUUAAUACUUUCCCCACUUGACAUAAUAUGGAAUCAGUAGAGCUAAACAUGUAAAAUGUAUAUUUUUAAUGUACUUUUUAAAAAUAUGUUUUUAGAUUUGAGCCGGACUCACGAUGGACCGUUUAAAACAAAGAUCAAAAUCGAUGCAGCAGAACCAGAGAUAUCCUCUUUUUUAUUCCACACAUUCCUCUUCCCUGUCAAAACCCGGGGCCUACAUCACCCACAAUGCAACUCGACAGUUCAGUCAGAGACUUGGGUGUGCUAUGCUAGUAGUGGCUAAUGUAGCCCCGAACCGCUAGCCUCAAGCAGAGAUGAAGAUUUUCACGCUGACUCGAGUGACAUCACCUGAGGUGAUUCAUCAGACUUCGCAGCUCCCUCCGGAGCCACAAAAGGCUUUUCUACAACUUUUCCACGUAUGCAGUAGUACUCCCCAGACCUGAAAACAUCCUUUUAUGUGGAGAAACGGUGGAGUUCCAAGUCUUUCUUGUGACUGAAUGGACUGACCCUUUAAAACAGUAAAGGCACAUGAUAAAGGAGGGACUGAGUGACAUUAAGGAAUCUGAAAUCACUUCCAACAUGGCAGCUCCUGAUGACUCCACCUACCUCCCCAGCAUGUCUAAAUUGGUUGACACCACCAGUAAACAGGAAGUUAACUUUGAUUGUUAUAGACCUUUGUUAAUCUGACAUAAUAGGAACAUUCUCUUCAACAUUUUUUGAUUUGAUGCUGAUGUGAGAAUGUUGUUACUUCACUAUGAAGGUGAGAAAUUCAAAAUAAUACACUUUGUAACAAGUCUUUUUUUGUUGCCUGUGGUUUUCUUCAUCAACCAAGACACCGCAGGACAUGGUGAAGUACUUGGUGUACGAGGAGUGCCUGCUUGAGCUUUUUAAAAUCUGCCCAACCUGCUCAAGAGUCUGCAAGCACUCACCAAGAAGGUGGAUGCCGUCUCCAAGGAGAAGGACUGCACCAAAUCAAAAUGUGGCAAAAGAGCAUCAAAAAUCACCUCUACUGCGGCAUCCAGAAUGUGCAUGUCCAUGAAAAUCCACUCUUCCCCAAGUGCCUCCACCCUCCUUCCACUGACAAAAACAAGUGGCUGAAGGCCAGUAUGCCACUAUUCAAUAGCAAUUAUGUCAUUUAAUUAGAAUCCUGUAAUAUACUCUCAGCUGCUUUGCAUUCAUCAUCAUCUUUUAUGUAUUUGUUAUUCUCUGUCCCCCUCUAGCAACAAAGGCCACCUACAAGCUGGAGAAGGUGCUAAUGAACAAUCGUGUUCUUGGUGAUGUGAAAAAGCUGAGCCCUCUCUACCAAACAUCUGCCUUGGAGGGGUUCCACAUGAUUCUGCGGUUCCACCAAAAAACGUGGCCUUCUCAUACCUGGGGAUGCUCUGCAGACUUUACCUGGCCGAACUGCAUUUCAGUGAAAAUUCUGGCCGUACCCAAGCGAGGGCUGCAGCAGGAGAACUGCAGUUCUAAAUAAAAUUUACCAAGGCCAAGAGAGGGGAACAUGUUGUGUCCAUAGUCAAGACCAAAUAUACUACUGCUUAGUUAAUUCUCAAUUGUCUGUUGGUAUCUCCAUACUAAUAUAUGCAUGAUUCCAAACACAUGUGCCCCGCUGGUGAGAUUUUGGCACCACCUGAGUGACAAGGUGUAGUACAUUUGCCAGUGUGCCUAGCAGUAAACACAACAUUUCUAUUGCAGUUACUUUGGUAACAGUUUGUCAGCAGUUGAGUCCAUAUGAAUGACUCAAACGAUAUGCUAUGUUAUGUGCUCUCUCCUGUAUAUUAGAGAAUGUGACUGAGCCGACGGACCUGUCUGUGUCACUGCCUGUGGUGUUGUAAACUGUCUAUUUUAUAUUUGAAUAGGCCCUGUAGUAACGUAGGCCGCUGUGUCUAUUUUACGUUUCAAGUAUAUGAGUAUAUGAGUUCAAGAUGGCGUCAAAGAUGGCUGCCUCUGUGUUUUGGUGCGCAUUGUUUUGUCUUGUUUUGCUUGUAAAUUCAGUUUUCUGCUGUGAUACCCGGAGCUCUUUCACCAGAGAAGAGCUCCAGAACAUCAGGCGAACUAUACCAGCGGACUUAUUUCCCACUUUUCUGCUUCCAUCAGUGGAAUUAUUAGACAUUCUGGUCAAAGGUGCUCUCACCCUUGCUCAUGCAGUGAAACGACGAAGGCCGACAUCGCACACCGUUACUGGGAAUAUUUCUCUCCAAUGUGCGCUCACUGUGCAUUAAACUGGAUGAACUUCAGCUAAUGGUCAGGGAAAAACAGACUUUAAUUCAUCUUGCGUUUUAUGCUUUACGGAGACGUGGUUGUGUGGAUCGAUACCAGACGCUACGCUGCAGCUGGCAGGCUUCCAACUCUUCAGAGGGGAUCGCAACACAGCAUUUUCUGGCAAAACAAAAAGGUGGAGGCAUCUGUUGUUACAUCAACAGUGGCUGGUGUAGACGUGACAGUGAUUCAACAGCACUGUUCUCCUGAGCUGGAAUAUUUAUUCAUAAACUCUAAACCCUUCUACUCCCCCAGUGAGUUUGUUUCAUUCAUUCUGGUCGGUGUUUACAUUCCACUGCAGGCUAACGUGCAGGACGCACAGCGCAUGCUCGCCGACCAGAUACUGUGUGUGGAGCGGACAAACCUGGACUCCUUAGUUAUUGUCCUCAGUGACUUUAACAAGGGAAAUCUCAGCCAUGAACUCCCCAAAUACAGACAGUUUGCCCGACCAGAGAGGAGAAUAUUCUGGAUCACUGUUACACUACUGUAAGCAGUGCCUAUCACACCGUCCCCCCGCGCUGCACUGGGCCACUCUGACCACAUCAUGGUCCACCUGAAAUUAAAGCUCUGUAAACCUGUUGUGAGGACAACAAAGCAGUGGACCAGUGAAGCUACGAGGACCUUCGGGCGUGCUUGGACUGUAGUGACUGGGAUGUUUUCAGGACUGAUACCAACAGUCUGGAUGAGUUCACAGAGACUGCUGUGUACCAUCGCACACCAGGGUGGGUUCUAACAAUGACAAACCCUGGUUCACAGCUAAACUCAGACAGCUAAGGUCGGAAAAGGAUGAGGCGUUCAGGAGUGGAGACAGGAACAGGUUUAGCAAGGCGGUGAGAGAAGCUAAACGACUGUACUCUGAGAGACUACACCACCAGUUCACAGCCAACGACUCUGCUUCUGUCUGGAGGGGGCUCAGACAGAUCACCAACUACAAACCUAAGCCCCCCACUCCAUUAAUUACUUGCGCCUGGCCAACCAACUGAAUGAGUUCUACUGUUGAUUUGAAAGACAAUGGGACAGUCCUGACACCAUCCCCCGCGACCCCAUCCAUACUGAGCCGUUCAUGAAUCGAUGCAUGUAGAUGCUGCACCUGUUCUGGCAAUGCCCCUACACAAAUACAAAUUUUGCAAAGAUGUAUCCCGGUAUACUGCUGAUAACAUUGACUCUGAAUUUUCUCUUUACUGGCAAAAUGUACUUUUUGGUAUCUACAAUAGUAAAAAAAUGUACUAUAUAUAAUUAAUUUGAUGUUUAUUUUAGCAAAGUAUCAUAUUCAUAAAUCCAAAUUCAACUUCAACAAUUUUAACUAAAAACAUAAAGCUGCAAAAAAAACAUUUAUUUGUGUUCUUUGUUUGUUUUCACUCAAAAGAUUCCCCUGGCUCUGAUGUCGUUUUGUCUGUAAUAAUGACUUCUUUGUUUGUACGUGAUUUCUAUUGUCAAAGAUUUAAAUAAUAAAAGAAAAAGAUGUUUUUUUAGCCAUUGUGAGGACAGAAAAAAGGACAAAGCAUGUUUGAGCAGGAGCAGUUUUGUUAUCAAUAACAUUCAACACCUCAAAGGUCCUGUAAAACAUUUUGCUGUCAAAUGGUGAGGUCUUUUCCUUUCAUUAAAUAUCUAAACAAUAUCUGCUGAU